rnacentral:rRNA from 1 species
UGACGUAGGUGGCAAGCGUUGUCCGGAUUUAUUGGGAUUUAAAGGGUGCGUAGGCGGUCUUAUAAGUCAGUGCGUGAAAAUAUCCGGCUUAACCGGAGGUGGCAUUGAUACUUGUAGGACUUGAGUAGAGUUGAGGUUGGCGGAAUUGACGGUGUAGCGGUGAAAUGCUUAGAAUAUCAGGAGGAACACCGAUGGCGAAAGGCAGAUCUCUGGGCCGUA